UUUCCGUAGGUGAACCUGCGGAAGGAUCAUUAUUGAAUAAACCUGAUUUGGCUGUUAGCUGGCUUUUCGUAGCAUGCGCUCGUCCGUCAUCUUUAUCUCUCCACCUGUGCACAUUUUGUAGUCUUGUAUACCUCUCGAGGCAACUCUGAUUUUAGGGUCGCUGUGCUGUACAAGUCGGCUUUCCUUUCAUUUCCAAGACUAUGUUUUUAUAUACACCAAAGUAUGUUUAAAGAAUGUCAUCAAUAGGAACUUGUUUACUAUAUAAUUAUACAACUUUCAGCAACGGAUCUCUUGGCUCUC
rnacentral:misc_RNA from 1 species